rnacentral:rRNA from 1 species
UACGGAAGGCAGCAGUGGGGAAUAUUGCACAAUGGGCGCAAGCCUGAUGCAGCCAUGCCGCGUGUAUGAAGAAAGGCCUUCGGGUUGUAAAGUACUUUCAGUCGUGAGGAAGGUGUUAAGGUUAAUAACCUUAGCAAUUGACGUUAGCGACAGAAGAAGCACCGGCUAACUCCGUGCCAGCAGCCGCGGUAAUACGGAGGGUGCGAGCGUUAAUCGGAAUUACUGGGCGUAAAGGGCACGCAGGCGGUUAAUUAAGUUGGAUGUGAAAUCCCCGGGCUUAACCUGGGAAUGGCAUUCAAGACUGGUUAGCUAGAGUCUUGUAGAGGGGGUAGAAUUCCAUGUGUAGCGGUGAAAUGCGUAGAGAUGUGGAGGAAUACCGGUGGCGAAGGCGGCCCCUGGACAAAGACUGACGCUCAUGUGCGAAAGCGUGGGGAGCAAACAGGGAUUAGAUACC